rnacentral:rRNA from 1 species
GACGAACCGUGCGAACGUUGUUCGGAUUCACUGGGCUUAAAGGGCGCGUAGGCGGGCGAUCAAGUCAGGGGUGAAAUCUUUCGGCUCAACCGGAAAAGUGCCCCUGAUACUGAUUGUCUCGAGGGAGGUAGGGGCAUGUGGAACUUCCGGUGGAGCGGUGAAAUGCGUAGAUAUCUACAGGAACUCCGGUGGCGAAGGCGGCACGCUGGACCUUUUCUGACGCUGAGGCGCGAAAGCCAGGGGAGCGAACGGG